rnacentral:rRNA from 1 species
AAAUAGAACUUUGCAGAGAGAGUUAACAGGGCGUGAAACCGUUAAUUGGCAAACGAAUCGGAGCCACGAAGUCGUUUCGUCGUUGAGUCGGGAUCAAGUUCAGCGAGCAUUUGCCUAGAAAACAAGUGCGCGUGUACUCUUAAUCUGGCCAACUUUGUAAGCGUACACUGCAACUAGUUAGACGAUUGGCCAUGGGCACAGCGAGCGAGUCAAGCAAUUGACUUGUAAGCGAAGCGUUUGUUUGCUCGCGCUAGCAGUGGCGCAGCCAGUGCCUCGGCGCUGUGUUGUGUUGCUAAGCGUGCGGCAAGUGAACUAUGGUCAAAUACUGACUAGCGAAAUGAAAAUCGUUGCCUCGUGCAACGUUAGAGACAAAGCAACUUGCUAGACGCGCCUCUACGCGUGCCGACUGCCGGCUUCAAGUUCGGCGCUUUUGAAUUUAGACUUGCUUGCUACCAGUGGGGCAACUCCUGGUGCUUGUACAGCUUCUAUCUAAUCAAGCGUUGACUUAACCCUGCAUUGUUCGGUCGCGAACGAUUGGAUGGCACGUUCCACUAAGCAAGCUGUAAUUUGAAUUGGCAGUGAGUAGGUCGGCUUUCCGAACGA